UACAGAGGUGGCAAGCGUUGUUCGGAAUUACUGGGCGUAAAGGGCGCGUAGGCGGCCUACUAAGUCAGACGUGAAAUCCCCCGGCUUAACCUGGGAACUGCGUCUGAUACUGGAAGGCUUGAGGAUGGGAGAGGGACGUAGAGUUCCAGGUGUAGCGGUGAAAUGCGUAGAUAUCUGGAGGAAUACCGGUGGCGAAGGCGGCAUCCUGGACCAUUACUGACGCUGAGGCGCGAAAGCUAGGGGAGCAAACGGG
rnacentral:rRNA from 1 species